rnacentral:rRNA from 1 species
GGGGAAUCUUCCGCAAUGGGCGAAAGCCUGACGGAGCAACGCCGCGUGAGUGAUGACGGCCUUCGGGUUGUAAAGCUCUGUGAUCGGGGACGAACGGCUGAUGGGAUAAUACCCCAUUGGAGUGACGGUACCCGAAUAGCAAGCCACGGCUAACUACGUGCCAGCAGCCGCGGUAAUACGUAGGUGGCAAGCGUUGUCCGGAAUUAUUGGGCGUAAAGCGCGCGCAGGCGGCUUCCUAAGUCCAUCUUAAAAGUGCGGGGCUUAACCCCGUGAUGGGAUGGAAACUGGGGAGCUGGAGUAUCGGAGAGGAAAGUGGAAUUCCUAGUGUAGCGGUGAAAUGCGUAGAGAUUAGGAAGAACACCGGUGGCGAAGGCGACUUUCUGGACGACAACUGACGCUGAGGCGCGAAAGCGUGGGGAGCAAAC